GAGAAGGGAAAGGAUGAGAAGACAGUCAAAGAAGAAAAGAGAGAGAGGAGAAGAGAAGAUAGAAGAGACAGAGAGAGAGAGGUCGAAACCAGAGGGGAAUCGAAGCCCUAGGGUGGAAUCGGCUUUGAGAUGUUGAUUUUCAGAUCUCCUUCGAUUCGGUCUAGUUCGCGACUAGGGUUCGCACUUCGAUCGUGCCUCGCGACUCGACUUGCUUUGCAAAGGAGUGUGUAAACAAUUGGGAUUUGAUACGAUUGAGCUAAAUGUGGGAUCACUCGGAGUUCCUGAAGAAACAUUCUUGAGAUUUAUCUGAUUGAUUAAGAGUGGUGGCCUAAAAGCCAAACCUCAAUUUGCUGUCGAGUUUAACAAGUCUGAUAUCCCCAUGAAAGGUGAUAGAGCAUUUGGGGCUUAUGUGGUCUCAAUGCCGCGAUCAUCUGGCGUGCCAAUGCUUUUUAUUGUCAGUGUUUGAUUGAUUCAAAGUUUCAUAUAUUUUAAUUUGAUUCCCUUGUCAACAUAUGGAUUUGAAAUUUUCAUAAGAUAUUUGUUUGAAUGCAUAACUAGUAAUUAUUGAUGUUUAAAGAGAAGCGAUGUGGGGAACUGAACAAUUUUUUAUCAUAACAUGCUUAAUUGCCAACGCAUAUUCAAUUUUAGGACAUCCAUUGGCCAAUCUAUUCAGGAAAUACAUUUGUAGCAUUUUUGCAAGUGAAAUUAAAUAUGGUAAAGUAUAAGCUUGAUAUGUUUUGAUUCCUUCCUGUGUCAAUAACUAGGAUGAAAAAAAGGGAAACACCAACGCAUUCCCAUAUAUAUAUAUAUAUAUAUAUUUGGCUGAGUGAGAUUUUAACACUUCGUUUUGAAAGGUGACACUGUAAGAUGAUUUAGGGUUCCUAGAGGCCGUGCUUCCAAAAUUCAAUGGGUGCUCUGUCAAAGUUAGCAUUGAAAAUGAAUACAAAAUUUCCAUGUCAAGGUGUAGAUACAUUUUCUGGUUACUCUGAUUGGGUGUCUUUAAUUUCAUUUUAUAGCAUUUAAUUAAUUGUUACUUGGUUGAGCUUUUAAAGAACUAAAAGCAAAUGGAACACAAAUAUCUCGAACUGAUAUAGAAGGUACUUGUGAAAAUUUUUAGGGAUAAGGUAAUAUAUAUUCUAUUUCAAGCAUUAAAAUGCUCUCUGUCUAUUAGAUUUCCUAAUCUUUAAGACUCGAAAUGCCCCUAGGGCUGUGCUUAGAUUUCGGAUUUGUGGAGGGAAAGAAAAAAGAGAUGGGAAAAAGUAUAUGAUGAUGUAGAAGCUAAAUUUUGUUCACUUUUCCCUUCCCAUUUCUUUUCCUUCUACAAACCAAAUAUCCAAACAUAGUGCAAGUGGUAAAGGCUAAAAAUGGUGAACAAUUUUUCCCUUUGGUUGAUGCAGCAAGUAGCUGAGUGGGUAAUGACAAUGGUGCAAGGUUUUGCUGACACUACCAGGAGAAAUUCAGGCUACUGGUGUUAAGGUUUAGCACAAUUCAGUUGCUGCUGUUCCUGAUUUGCAUGAAGUUAUGCUAGUCAAUAGGGGUUAAAAAGAGCCUGCUCUGUUUGGUGGGGAUGUUUUUAAUCAGAAAACAUUCUACAAUGCAUACAAGAAACGGUCAAAGAACAUCGAGAUUGACAUAGAAGAGUACAAUAAAAUGAAAGAAGCUGAUCCAGAAUUCUACAAAGAAGCUUCAAACCUCCAAUAUGGAAAGGCACCAAAAGUUGCCGAGGACAAGAUUGAAAGGAUGGUGAAGGAACUCAAGGACAGAGAUGAGAAGCAGGAGGAGAAGGUUUCAUGAUGAGAAAGAUACUGAUUUGAUCAAUGACCGUAAUGAACAUUUCAAUAAGAAGAUUGAGCGAGCCUUUGGGAGAUACACGCUGGAGAUGAAGAAUAACCUUGACAGAGGAACUGCUUUACCUG